rnacentral:rRNA from 1 species
UACGUAGGGAGCAAGCGUUGUUCGGAUUUACUGGGCGUAAAGGGCGCGUAGGCGGCAAUUCAAGUCAUCUGUGAAAUCUCCGGGCUUAACUCGGAACGGUCAGAUGAUACUGUUUUGCUAGAGUGCAGAAGGGGCAAUCGGAAUUCUUGGUGUAGCGGUGAAAUGCGUAGAUAUCAAGAGGAACACCUGAGGUGAAGACGGGUUGCUGGGCUGACACUGACGCUGAGGCGCGAAAGCGUGGGGAGCAAACAGG